GAUGAGAUGGCCGAGUCGUAAGCGUUAAAUUGUAAAUUUAAAUACGAAGAAAUUCUUCUCUCAUCA
rnacentral:tRNA from 1 species